UACAGAGGUCUCAAGCGUUGUUCGGAUUCAUUGGGCGUAAAGGGUGCGUAGGCGGCGCGGUAAGUCGGGUGUGAAAUCUCGGAGCUUAACUCCGAAACUGCAUUCGAUACUGCCGUGCUUGAGGACUAGAGAGGAGACUGGAAUUUACGGUGUAGCGGUGAAAUGCGUAGAUAUCGUAAGGAAGACCAGUGGCGAAGGCGGGUCUCUGGACAGUUACUGACACUGAGGCACGAAGGCCAGGGGAGCAAACGGG
rnacentral:rRNA from 1 species